GGGUUUCUUGCAUUCGUAACAAGCGACUGCCUCUUUCUCUUUUUUCUUACCUUUUUCCUUAUCAAAGGCAUUUGAAGUGAAUCUCUUCUUGUAGGAAGGUUUCUUCUUUCUUAGGAACCUUUUGAACUUCCUAACAAGAGCUUCUUCCUCAUCUCCUUCUUCUUCAUCCUCACUGCUGCUACUGUCAUUUUUCUUGUGAGCAGUGAAUUUGAAAGCUAUUACCUUUCUCCUUUGGCUCUCUUUCUCGGUGUGCUGCUUCAUAGUUAGCUCAUGGGUCAUCAGCGAUCUAAGAAGCUUUUCUAGUGGAAGUGUGUUGAGAUCUUUAGCUUCUUGGAUAGCUGUCACUUUAGCUUCCCAUGUGCAAGGUAGAGAACGAAGGACUUUCCUGACAAGAUCACUAUUAGAAUAAGUUUUUCCAAGACUUUUUAAGCCAUUAAUGAUAUCAGUGAAUCUUGUGAACAUGCAUGUGAUGGUUUCAGAUGGUUCCAUUUUAAACAGUUCAUAUUUAUGUACAAGCAUGUUGAUUUUAAAUUCCUUCACCUGAUUGGUAUCCUCAUGGGUAACCUCAAGUCUAUCCCAUAUUUCCUUAGCCGAAAUAUAGGUGGAAAUCCUAUUGAAUUCAUUUGUAUCUAAAGCACAAUAAAGUACAUUCAUUGCCUUAGCAUUUAGUUGGACCCUUUUCUUAUCAUUAUUAUCCCAAUCUUUUUCAAGCUUGGGAAUUGCAAUAUUAUCUACAAUGUGUGUGGGAAUGUAUGGUCCAUUUAUUAUUAUGCUCCAAACAUCAUAAUCUUGGGCUUGUAUGAAUAUCCUCAUUUUAGCCUUCCAAUAGGUGUAGUUUGUUCCAUUGAACAAAGGUGGCCUAUGGGUAAACUGCCCUUUACUUAGGGUAGACCCAAAUUGAGUUGCCAUUUAAUCUUUUGUUUUAAUUAAAUUGGAUCAACAAUCAAUAUUAGAGCACCUGCUCUGAUACCACUUGUUGCCCAGAAGACAACCCAAGAGGAAGGGUGAAUUGGGUUCUAAUUAAAAUUAGAUUCUUUAAUUUUAUCUAUUGAGGAUUAUACCUUUUUCCUUAUCAAAGGCAUUUGAAGUGAAUCUCUUCUUGUAGGAAGGUUUCUUCUUUCUUAGGAACCUUUUGAACUUCCUAACAAGAGCUUCUUCCUCAUCUCCUUCUUCUUCAUCCUCACUGCUGCUACUGUCAUUUUUCUUGUGAGCAGUGAAUUUGAAAGCUAUUACCUUUCUCCUUUGGCUCUCUUUCUCGGUGUGCUGCUUCAUAGUUAGCUCAUGGGUCAUCAGCGAUCUAAGAAGCUUUUCUAGUGGAAGUGUGUUGAGAUCUUUAGCUUCUUGGAUAGCUGUCACUUUAGCUUCCCAUGUGCAAGGUAGAGAACGAAGGACUUUCCUGAC
rnacentral:lncRNA from 1 species